GGUGAGUAACACGUGGAUAACCUACCUAUAAGACUGGGAUAACUUCGGUAAACCGGAGCUAAUACCGGAUAAUAUUUUGAACCGCAUGGUUCAAAAGUGAAAGACGGUCUUGCUGUCACUUAUAGAUGGAUCCGCGCUGCAUUAGCUAGUUGGUAAGGUAACGGCUUACCAAGGCAACGAUGCAUAGCCGACCUGAGAGGGUGAUCGGCCACACUGGAACUGAGACACGGUCCAG
rnacentral:rRNA from 1 species